CUACGUAGGUGACAAGCGUUAUCCGGAUUUACUGGGCGUAAAGGGCGUGUAGGCGGUCUUGCAAGCAAGAAGUGAAAUUCCUGAGCUCAACUCGGGCGCUGCUUCUGAAACUGCAGGACUUGAGUGCUGGAGAGGAUAGCGGAAUUCCUAGUGGAGCGGUAAAAUGCGCAGAUAUUAGGAAGAACACCGGUGGCGAAGGCGGCUAUCUGGACAGUAACUGACGCUGAGGCGCGAAAGCGUGGGGAGCAAACAGGAUUAGAUCCCCUGGUAGUCCGCACCGUAAACGAUGUACACUAGGUGUCGGGGCAUGAGUCUCGGUGCCAAAGCUAACGUAAUAAGUGUACCGCCUGGGAAGUAUGCCCGCAAGGGUGAAACUCAAAUGAAUUGACGGGG
rnacentral:rRNA from 1 species